GACGAACGCUGGCGGCGUGCUUAACACAUGCAAGUCGAACGGAAAGGCCCUGCUUUUGUGGGGUGCUCGAGUGGCGAACGGGUGAGUAACACGUGAGUAACCUGCCCUUGACUUUGGGGUAACUUCAGGAAACUGGGGCUAAUAUCGGAUAGGAGCUCCUGCUGCAUGGUGGGGGGUGGAAAGUUUCGGCUGUUGGGGCUGGACUCGCGGCUUAUCAGCUUGUUGGUGGGGUAGUGGCUUACCAAGGCUUUGACGGGUAGCCGGCCUGGGAGGGUGACCGGCCACCUUGGGACUGAGGUACGGCCCAGACUCCUACGGGAGGCAGCAGUGGGGAAUAUUGCACAAUGGGCGGAAGCCUGAUGCAGCAACGCCGCGUGCGGGAUGACGGCCUUCGGGUUGUAAACCGCUUUCGCCUGUAACGAAGCGUGAGUGACGGUAAUGGGUAAAGAAGCACCGGCUAACUACGUG
rnacentral:rRNA from 1 species